rnacentral:rRNA from 1 species
GAUGAACGCUGGCGGCGUGCCUAAUACAUGCAAGUCGAGCGAACGGACGAGAAGCUUGCUUCUCUGAUGUUAGCGGCGGACGGGUGAGUAACACGUGGAUAACCUACCUAUAAGACUGGGAUAACUUCGGGAAACCGGACCUAAUACCGGAUAAUAUUUUGAACCGCAUGGUUCAAAAGUGAAAGACGGUCUUGCUGUCACUUAUAGAUGGAUCCGCUCUGCCUUAGCUAGUUGGUAAGGUAACGGCUUACCAAGGCAACGAUGCAUAGCCGACCUGAGAGGGUGAUCGGCCACACUGGAACUGAGACACGGUCCAGACUCCUACGGGAGGCAGCAGUAGGGAAUCUUCCGCGAUGGGCGAAAGCCUGACGGAGCAACGCCGCGUGAGUGAUGAAGGUCUUCGGAUCGUAAAACUCUGUUAUUAGGGAAGAACAUAUGUGUAAGUAACUGUGCACAUCUUGACGGUACCUAAUCAGAAAGCCACGGCUAACUACGUG